GCAGGAUGGCCGGCUACAGCGUGGAGGAGCGCGCCAUGCCUCACAGCCUGGAAUACUGGCUUUUUUUUCAAGGACGCUGCCGGCCGCUACAUCUCCCCUUUCCAUGAUAUCCCCAUCUAUGCGGAUGCUGGCAAGAAUGUGUUCAACAUGGUUGUGGAAGUACCUCGAUGGACAAAUGCUAAAAUGGAGAUUGCAAUAAAGGAUCCCUUAAACCAAUUAAGCAAGAUAUCAAGAAAGGAAAACUACGCUACGUAGCAAACGUGUUUCCCCAUAAGGGUUGUAUCUGGAAUUACGGUGCUAUCCCACAGACUUGGGAAGACCCAAGUCACAAAGACGAAAAUACUGGCUGUUGUGGAGAUAACGAUCCGAUUGAUGUGUGCGAAAUUGGAAUCAAGGUCUGCUCUCGAGGAGAAGUCAUCGAAGUGAAGGCGCCGGGCAUGGUUGUGCUGAUCGAUGAGGGAGGACGGACUGGAAAAUAAUCGCUAUCAACAUUGAAGACCCUGAAGUGGACGACUAUGAUAUCAAUGAUGUCAGAAGGAUGAAACCCGGAUACUUAGAAGCUACAGUGGACUGGUUCAGAAGAUACAAAGUACCUAAUGGAAAGCCAGAAAACCAGUUUGCUUUUAAUGGCGAAUUUAAAGACAAGGAUUUUGUGGUGAACGUCAUCAAAAGCACUCAUGAACACUGGAAAGCUUUGCUUGCAAAGAAAACUGAUGGAGGGGAGAUCAACUGCACAAAUCUGACGGUAUCUGACAGCCCUUUCUACCCUUUCGUUCAAAAAACGG